rnacentral:rRNA from 1 species
UGGGGAAUUUUGGACAAUGGGCGAAAGCCUGAUCCAGCAAUGCCGCGUGUGUGAAGAAGGCCUUCGGGUUGUAAAGCACUUUUGUCCGGAAAGAAAUCCUUGGCUCUAAUACAGUCGGGGGAUGACGGUACCGGAAGAAUAAGCACCGGCUAACUACGUGCCAGCAGCCGCGGUAAUACGUAGGGUGCAAGCGUUAAUCGGAAUUACUGGGCGUAAAGCGUGCGCAGGCGGUUUGCUAAGACCGAUGUGAAAUUCCCCGGGCUAACCUGGGAACUGCAUUGGUGAACUGGCAGGCUAGAGUAUGGCAGAGGGGGGUUAGAAUUCCACGUGUAGCAGUGAAAUGCGUAGAGAUGUGGAGGAAUACCGAUGGCGAAGGCAGCCCCCUGGGCCAAUACUGACGCU